UACGUAGGGGGCAAGCGUUACCCGGAUUCACUGGGCGUAAAGCGCGUGUAGGCGGCUGGCCAAGCGUGGUGUGAAAUCUCCGGGCUCAACCCGGAAACUGCACUGCGAACUGGCCUGGCUGGAGUGCAGGAGAGGGAUGCGGAAUUCACGGUGUAGCGGUGAAAUGCGUAGAUAUCGGGAGGAACACCUGUGGCGAAAGCGGCUCACUGGACCACAACUGACGCUGAGGCGCGAAAGCUAGGGGAGCAAACAGG
rnacentral:rRNA from 1 species